rnacentral:rRNA from 1 species
CCUACGGGAGGCAGCAGUGAGGAAUAUUGGUCAAUGGCCGGAAGGCUGAACCAGCCAUGCCGCGUGAAGGUCAGUGCCCUAUGGGCGUUAAACUUCUUUUGUGCGGGAGCAAUAAUGGUCACGUGUGGCCAGACGAGAGUACCGUACGAAUAAGCAUCGGCUAACUCCGUGCCAGCAGCCGCGGUAAUACGGGGGAUGCAAGCGUUAUCCGGAAUUAUUGGGUUUAAAGGGUGCGUAGGCUGUGAGGUAAGUCAGCGGUGAAAUGCCCCCGCUCAACGGGGUGAAGUGCCAUUGAUACUGCCUGGCUGGAAUGCGGAUGCCGUGGGAGGAAUGUGUGGUGUAGCGGUGAAAUGCAUAGAUAUCACACAGAACACCGAUUGCGAAGGCAUCUCACGAAUCCGCGAUUGACGCUGAUGCACGAAAGCGUGGGUAUCAAACAGGAUUAGAUACCCUUGUAGUC